AUGCCAGUAUCUCAUUAUCUGCUUCACUAACAUAAAAACUAACUCUUGUAUUUCACUAAUAAACGCUGUGCUACUCAAUCUAUCGAAACUCCAUUGCAAUUUGAGAACCAAGAAGAAACUCCAUCGCAGCGUGAGAUCUACGAUCUCAUCCACGACGUUCUCCUUUGGCGGCAAGCUCCUCCAUCAAUGUUUUUUUUCCAGCUGCAAUCUCCUCCAUCAAAGUUUCCUGCUCCACCAUGUUGUGCUCUAUGAAGCUUCUCCUUCUCCAUCUUCGUUGAACUAGGUUUUGAUUUUCUCUUUGUUAGCAGAAAUUGGGGGUAAAUUCUUCAUGAAAUUCCUUCGAUUUUUUUCUUACAUGCAUGUAUACAAAUUUGCAUUCGUUUCGCGGUUUUGAUUUAUAAAUAUGCUCUCGGUUGGUGCUUUACUGAUUUGCAUAACACGUAUUUGAUAAAUUGUUUGAAUGCUUAUUUUUUUAUCUAUAUAUUUGUUCAAUCAUUGACAUAUCUCUUUUUCAAACAUAUUAACAAACUCUUUUAUUAGCUUGAAACUUGUUUCUGUGCUUUGUUAAAUUAUUUGCUUUAAGGAACAAUGAAACAUCAUCUGCUUUUCAUUCUAAGCUUUUGUGCUUUGUUCAAUGUGUUAUGUAGAACCUUAUAGAAGAAAAUAUGUAUCUUGAUAACAUAAUCAAAUUAAAGAUAUUUUAAAAAUUGAUAUACACCAUCUUUUGGAAAGUUCACCAAGUCAAAAUUUGGAUAAUGCUUACGCUAACACUGUUGAAAUACUUUGGUGACAUAAGUGAUCAUGAUAUCUGAGAGCCAAAAACAAUUGUUAUAUAAACUGUUAACAAAUUGGAUAGUUCUACGGCGCUAAGUGCCUAAAAUUUCAGCAGCUGCUGAAAUGAGUUGUCAUGAGGGAGAGAAGGACGGGUGUGGUGUUGGGUGCAAUAUGCGCAGACAGGAUGCUGUUGACAUUAGAUGGAGUAUUGUGUUAAGCUGAAGUUAUGGUUAAUGAUGAUUAGAUGUUUGGGUUGGACUUUUUUGUGAAUAUGGCCGUUUGUGGCAUUACUGAUGGGCUUCGGGUUUAUUGUCAAGGGAAAAAAAAGAUAGAACAACUUUUGGGGGAGGUUGGACCAAAAAGUCAACUCCGUGUAAUGGCUUAGGCCAAAAAGAUAGAACAACAUACCUUUGAAUGAUCUUUUAUCAUCGUUAAUUCAAAUAAUAAUGCAAUAGUAUGGGCCUCGUAAGAAAAUGAAAAUGCAAAAAUAUUAAUAGUAAUAAUAUCAUGGGCCCAAAUGGCAUUCUUUGUAGCAAUAUGUUUGGAUAUUGUAUUAGGAGUAGUAUUGAAUUUCUGUUUCCCUUUCACUCUGGAUGGUACAAAGGAAAAAUAAAGAGGUUACAGUGAUAAAUGGAGCCUUAGGGUUAAGACAUUUAGGGAUUCAUUGUAGAAGGGUGUACUUGCAGCAACGGUAGUAAGCGCAUUGUGAUGAUGGCAGAGGAGGAAGAAGCUGGUGACCGCAUUCAUGGAUCUGUCCCGGUGGCAGAGCGAGAGAACUUACGCCAGAUGAACUAUUUGUGUUCGAAUUUUAUUUUGUACUUUUCGUUGUUAUGGUUUAAGAAGCCAUUGAUCCAUUGUGUAGUGUGAUCUUCUGUCUAAUUUAUUGAUUGGCUUAAGGUCGUGGAAUGUAGGCACUGUUUGUUGAACUGUAUUAAAUUGUGGAUAGUUAGAUAGCCUAGUAGUUGAUAUCUGGAAGCUCUGGUGAAUCAUUAAUUAGGAUUAGCAUUAUGAGUAAGUUUUGGGAUAAUGUUAUGCAAACAAAUGACAUAAUACUUGUGUUAAAUUAAAUUGUUGGGAUAGGGUGUGUAAUGAGGAUGAUCAUUUUUAUUAAACUCGACUCAGACCCUUGCGAUGUGUGGGGAGCCAAAUUAAAAAAUAUUGUAUUAUUUAUUAACUGACUUAUUUAUGUGUUUGCUGAUAUGGUUUAGAAGAUUGUAUAGUAUGGCUUAAUUUUGAGAUGUUCUUUGGUUGGGUAUGUAUUAAAAUAAUUUAGGAAGAAAAUAAGAAUAAAUGUAGCAUAAAAUUAUAAAUAAUUAUUUAUUAAUAAUGUUAUGUUAGAAUAUCUUCAUGAAGUAGAUGUUGUAUGCUAAAGUUGAAUACGGUUAAAGAUACUUUGAACUAUUCUUUUGAGAGAAUAUAUGAGAUGGUAGAAAAAUAGAAAAAAGUAUUACUUAAGAACUGAAUCGUUUGAGGAGACCAAUUAAUAUAUCCGUUGAGUAGUUUUUCCUGAAAAUUGUUAUUAGUAUAUUAUAUAUGUAAAUGUCAAUUGUGUGUAACUUACAUGUAGAUGGAGGUAUCCUUAAGUGAUGCGGCUGUUGGUAUCGGGGGGACUGAAACCGAGGCUGAUAAGGAAUCAGAUCCGAAGGACCUAAGUGGUGAAGAUGUGGCGAAUGAGGAUUUGGGUGAAUAUGAAGAUGUCACCGAGUUAGAUGUUGAUGACAUAAAGCAGAUGGGGUGGGAUAGUGUUGACGCAGCUUAUAAGUUUUAUAGGAGGCUGGGAAAGUAUUAUGGAUUCGGCAUCAAGAAGGGUGAUUUAGGCAAGGAUUAUAGUGGAAAUUUGAUUAGAUAUAGGUUUUUUUUGUAAUAAAUAAGGUUUGAGGGAUCGAAGACACAAUGACAGAGUUGAUAGAAGGAGGAUAUACAGACUUGAGACACGGACCAAUUGCAAGGCUAAGCUCUCCAUUUACAUGGACAAAACUGAGCAUUAUUGGAAGGUGCAAAAAGUUACGAGAGAACAUAAUCACGAAUUAACACCUACGUCGAUGGUUCAUCUGAUUUCCAACCAUCAUGAAAUGACCGAUGCAGCAAGGGCUCAGAUUGAUGGAUUACGUGUGAGUGGCAUUGCGACAUCGAAGAUUGUUAGAUACAUGGCAGGAAUGGAUGGCAGGUACUCGUUGCUGGGUUUCUUGAAGAAAGACGUGUACAACUACGCCGACAGAACCCGUCACGCUAACAUAUCGGAUGGUGAUGCGAAUGCGGUUAUUGUUUAUCUGGAGGGAAAGGCUGGUUCGGACCCCAUAUCGGUAGCUAGAUACAGUGUAACAAAAGAUGAACGGUUGGCAAAUUUAAUUUGGGCUGAUAAAGCCAGCAGAGCUGAUUAUCAACAUUUUGGAGAUGUUCUUGCCUUCGACUCGACCUAUAAGAAAAACAAGUACAAAAAACCUGUUGUGAUUUUUUCAAGCUCUAACAAUCACAAGCAAACAAUGAUUUUUGGGUUUAGGCUAUUAUUUGACGAUAGUGCAACUUCUUACAAGUGGAUGUUAGAAAAUUUGCUGGAGGUGAUGUGCAAGAAGAAACCCUCUGUGGUCGUGACUGACGGGGAUAAAGCAAUUAUUAAGGCCGUCAGAUCAGUUCUUCCUGAUUCAACACACCAAUUGUGUGUGCUUGGAAUAUUGAAAAAAAUGUGAUGUCAAAUGUGAAAGGUGAAACUUUACGUAGCUUGUUCAGAAGGUGGUUGUAUGUUGACAUGGCAAUAGAGGAGUUCAAGAUGGAAUGAGAGAGCGCUGUUGCUGAUUAUGACUUACAAGGAAAGGAGUGGGCCACCCAGAUGUAUGAGAGGUGGGGGAUGUAGGCAAAUGCAUAUCUACGAGACAAGGUUUGCCUGAGUUUUUGGACAACUUCCCAAUGUGAAGGGAUUAUAGCCUUCGUAAAAAAAUUUUCGAAGACAACGCACACUAUACUUGAGUUAGUUUAGAAGUUGGAGUUGGUUGUCUAGGAGUAUAGAAAUAAGGAGUUACUACUCCACUUCAAGUCCAUCAAUUCUGUUCCGAUCAUGAUGACUGGUUUCACAUCGAUUGAGCAACAUGAUGCCUCAGUGUAUACAAGAGAAGUCUUUACUGAUGUCAAGAAAUAGAUCAUCGGUGAUGGGACAUUGAAUCUUAUAUCCAAGAGAAGGUGCCUAAACACAAUGGUCUACACAGUUGAGAAGUACGAGCAACCAGCUAUGAGCAUUAUGGUAGCCUUUGGCAGGUCCUCUAGAAAAAUUGAAUGCCAAUGUAACUUUUGGAGAGUGAAUGGGUAUCCCUGUAGCCAUAUGUUCUUUGUCAUGAAAUAGAAACAUGUGACAGCGAUUCCGGAUGCACUUGUGCUGCAGAGAUGGCGAUUAAAUGUGAACUCGACUGAGCAUUACGUCGAGAGCUCGGCUGACACAAGUGAGGCGGGUUUUUUUGCUUCGACAUGGUGCCUUCCACACUGUCUUGUAGCUGCUCUUCUUUGUAGGUGCCCAAAGAUUAUCACUAUUUCGGAAGGCAUUAUGUGGCGUACUAAUGCUGUGUCGAGAGCUAGAAUUGAAGUACAGAGCAUUUGAUAAUGGGGCAAGAGAGAGGCCGACAGAAGGAGAUGGUCUAGCAGAAGGCAACUGCAUUGUCAGGGACCUAGUUGUUGCUAAACCCAAGGGGGCCCGAAAAAUACCCAAACAGAAACACCUUCAAAAGAGGUGCUGUGAACAGUAUGCAAACGGCCAGGGCAUACUAAGAGACACUGUGUCAAGAAAAAAUAGCAGCGCACAUGUUGCAGCAAAGAACUUGUCGAACCAAAUGAACCUCGAAAGGGUGUGCCAUCUGGUGCAAAGCGACAUAAGGUGAAACACAAUGUGAAACAAAGCAUGUUUCAAACCGUGGAGUCCAGUGUUGGUAAUAACGAGUGCCCGACUCAGAUCAUUGGAAAGGGACCACAAUUGUUGAAGGAGAUCUGGCAGCUCCUUGGAAAGGCAAGGUAGGUUCAUGGCCUAACAACUACGAGUGGCGAGUAAGGCAUGCAAUGAGAUUUGGCUAAGUUAAACACAGUUCAGCGAAUGCACCUAUGUGUGGACUCAAUUGAGUUAUGUGAUUUGGUAUUUUCAUGUUAUUGACUUCCAUUUUAUCUUGAAUUCCCAUGGUAGUUUUCUUGUUAUCGAGGCCCAACUUGAAAAGAGACAUGCAUGUGAAAUAUGACUGCGGGAUUUGCUUAUUUAAAAUUGAUAAAUUAUUAGCAUGCAUUAUGCUUCGUUAUGAUAUAGUCAUGGAACGUAAUAUAGAGCACAUGUGGUGAAAGAUGUAUUAAUGUGUUAAUAAUCUAAGUUGUGGAAAAAGUCAACUCGUUUCUAAGGAAAUACUACAUAGUGGAGUUCGAUGAGCCUUUUCCUCAAAUGCUUGAGCGGCAAGUGACAUGAAUAUCUGCUUUGUUCGGUGCAUAACCUUGGGAUUUUAUUCUAUUCAUGGGCCCAUUCGUUUUUGUGCACCCCCAAGUGAUUAGGGCGGUUAUGAAUGUUUUUCUUUUUUUUUUUCAUUGCUGGAUACUUGAUGCAUGUUUUUUUAUUUUCCUUCUUGGGUUGGACUCGAGUUAAGUUUUGGUCAUUUUAUAAUCUUGCAGGAAAUUUUUCGACAGUUGGAUAGUUCAGUGGGUUAUAGUCUCCCAUGACCAAGUCUAGAGCCAAUCUCAUCCGAGUUCGAUCAUUGACGUCCUGCAACUUAUGACAUUCAGUCAGCAGAAAACCCAAUAGUUUACAAAUGGGGUAAAAAUGUUUGUGUUUUCAUCUCAACAAAAAAGUCUUUCUAAAGCCACACAUGCAUCAUCAAAUGAAAAACCCAAACCCCACAGUCAUUGCUACAAGAAUAGUGUAACACGUAGCGGUUAACUAGUGGAAAUUUCAUGAUGUUAUCAUAAUCUAAUUAAAACCAAAUAAAGAGUAACUUGGCAUACGAAAGUUCUCCUUGCUGUCCAACUUCAGGCUCCACCACUUCGAAGGUAGAAGGCUGAGGUUGGUAGUGAUUAGCUUUUUUUCAGAACCUGUUGUCCUCGAACAUAAUCUCUAUGAAGAAGGCCUUGCCCAUAGAAGAAAUCAAUUUAAAGGCUGGCAUAAGAGAUAUUGUUUAAUUGUCUCGAAAGACAGGAAACAUUCUAUUCUUAAUUGAAGCCAUAACACUUACCACAAACUUUAUUUGCGCAACUCUACCAUCACGCUCAUUUGGGUCUUUGGCCGAGUCUAAAUACAUUAGCUUGCAGUGAACGAGAUCAACGAUCAUGAGGUACUAGUGGUGCUCCCUAUACAUGGGCACAUAUAUAUUGCAAGGAAAGUCGCACAAACAACAUUACUUAACUAUUAGUCAGGUGGUGAAUUCACGUGAACAUAAUAUGCAUUGGAUAUUGUCUUACCAUCUACAAAUCAUCCGCAAGACCCAUGAAUCGGGUGCGUAUAAACUCAUAUGUAUCAAUGUUGUGAUUAAUGGGACUAAGAGCA